AGAGUUUGAUCCUGGCUCAGGACGAACGCUGGCGGCGUGCUUAACACAUGCAAGUCACGGGGGCCCGCAAGGGUAACCGGCGAACGGGUGCGUAACACGUGAGCAAUCUGCCGAUGUCUGGGGGAUAGCCGGCCCAACGGCCGGGUAAUACCGCAUACGAUCGCCUGGGGGAGUCCCCGGGCGAUGAAACCUCCGGGGGACAUCGAGGAGCUCGCGCCCUAUCAGCUAGUUGGUGAGGUAAUGGCUCACCAAGGCUACGACGGGUAGCUGGUCUGAGAGGAUGGCCAGCCACAUUGGGACUGCGACACGGCCCAGACUCCUACGGGAGGCACAGUGGGGAAUAUUGCGCAUGGACGAAAGUCU
rnacentral:rRNA from 1 species